rnacentral:rRNA from 1 species
GCACGGGUGAGUAACGCGUAUGUAAUCUGCCCUGUACAGAGGGAUAGCCCAGAGAAAUUUGGAUUAAUACCUCAUAGUAUUACCGAAUCGCAUGAUUUGGUAAUUAAAGCUCCGGCGGUACAAGAUGAACAUGCGUGACAUUAGCUAGUUGGUAAGGUAACGGCUUACCAAGGCUACGAUGUCUAGGGGUUCUGAGAGGAUGAUCCCCCACACUGGUACUGAGACACGGACCAGACUCCUACGGGAGGCAGCAGUGAGGAAUAUUGGUCAAUGGACGCAAGUCUGAACCAGCCAUCCCGCGUGAAGGAUGACUGCCCUAUGGGUUGUAAACUUCUUUUAUAUGCAAAUAAACCUACUUUCGUGAAAGUAGCUGAAGGUAGCAUAUGAAUAAACACCGGCUAACUCCGUGCCAGCAGCCCGGGUAAUACGGAGGGUGUAAGCGUUAUCCGGAUUUAU